AGCUGCGGGGAAAAGGUGCGUAGAACGGAGUCCUACAACUGCUUGUCUGUGGACUUAGUCCCUGGGGGCUCCGUACAAGACAGUUUGGCCCUCUACUUCAAGGGCUAUGAGGUAGAGUGUCGGUGCCAGUGGUGCUCUGGGCAGUUGGCCACUGUGGAGCCAACGUUACAGUCACUGCCUCGAGUGCUGGUCGUGCAGCUGAAACGGUUCAGCUUUAACUCCAGAGGGAACCUGGUGAAGCUGCACGAUCGUCUGCACAUCUCCCCACAGCUCAGCCUGCAGGCCCACAGCACGGCCAACGUUCGCUUGCCAGGGACGGCUAAGCCCCACCUCACCCAUGGGGAUUUCUGUGCAACCUUUCCUUCACCAGGGGGUGCUGUUCCCUUUGCAGAAUGAAUAUAGAAUCACCAGUGUGCUGUCCCACAUUGGGUCGAAUAUGAGACACGGUCAUUACAUCUGUGAGAGCUGUGAGUCCAACACACAAUGGCUCUCAUUUGACGACGAGAGGGUGCAGCAGCUGGACCAGAAGACUGUAUUGAGGCAGAGGUCAAACUCCGCCUAUAUACUGUAUUAUGAGUACAGGGCUGCUGGUGAAUAAAGAUCUCUAUGGAACAGAGACCAUGGCCAGUCUUGAAUGAAACUGCUCCUCUCUGCACCCCCAAGAGCUUGGAACAGCCAGGCAUGUUUAUGUUUUUUUGCUGAUGUUAUUUGAAAUGUAUGAUAUGAGCAUUGAAGAAAAGACAAAGGGUUGGUCUAUGAAAAUGUGCCAUUUUAGAUUUCAUGUGUCCAUGUAUAUAAUUUAAUUAGCCCUGUUACCAACACAUUAAUUAUGAUUUGAAUUGGUUAAAAAAAAUAUUGAAACAAAUUCAACAGAUUACAAAACAUAAAAGACACAUUGUUACAUUUAUUGGUAAAGUAUAAAUAGUCAGGCUGGUAAAUCAUUCUGGAAUAGUUUGCCAUCCUUGUGAUUCAAAAAAGGGAGUCUGAGGCACUGUCUUGCAUUUAAAAAAAUUUAUCCAACAAUAAUCCGACAGGAUAAAAUUGUGUGUGGAUCCAGGUGCUUUUGUUUUUCCAUCAAUUUACAGAGGUCAAAAAAUAACUUCUCUAAGUCCAGGGGCAUGUGUGUCUGUUCAUUCUUAAGCAACAAUUUCGGAACAACGAUCUUUUCCUUGUAUUUUGUCGAGUCUCCCCAGCAAAAACUGAACCAAGGUCUCAAACGUGAAUAAAGGGGUUUAUUCCUUCUUCCUUUUGAUUUGGAUUAAAAAGAAGAAUUUAAAAAAAAGAAUAAUUAAUAACAAUAAUACAUGUACAUGUUUGCGUGCAUAAACCUACACAUAUAACUAACUCUGCCCUUUCAACAGAGGGGUGCCAUUUCAAUUUUCUGCCAAUUUACCAUCUUUAUCUCAUACCAUUUCUGGUCUCUUUGGGCUUGUGUACACAAUCCAGUAGUCCCACAUUUUUUAAAACUUGAAACCUGCUGGAGUGUCUAAGAAUAUGUGAAUCUCUCCAUCACAAAUAUCUCAUGCAUUACAUCAACCCAGUCAUCCAGCAUUAUUUUGAGAAGGUGCUCAUCUUCUUUCUCUGCAGGACCAAAGAUUGCCCUUCUGAAUUAUAGCUCUACGAAUGUCAAUGGCAUUUCUACCUUUAAAAUGGCCUCCAUUUAUUCAUGAAUCCCCUUCCAGAAUGGAGAAUCCUAUCCGGCAUCUUUCUCUCAUUUUUCCUUACUGUAUUCUUACCGUUUUCUCCUUUUCAUUUUUCUGGGAGAUGAUCAUGAUUCAGAUUCAUAGGUUGCUGAAACCACUUUCAGUACUUCAGAUUCCAUUAGCUCUGAAUCCUCUUCCUCUUGUAAUUAUCUGUUCCAAAUAAUGGCGUACUUGUCGGUAUCUAUGUAAAUCGUGAUUGACUAGCCCAUCUUGAUCUUUAAGUUCCUGAAAACCUUUAAUUGCUCCUGGGUUUUAAAAAAAAAUGCAUGCUGUGGGCUGUGAGGCCCGUCCUAGUCAUCUCUCUGACAACUGUGAUAAAACCUAUUUGGGACAAUGUCAGAGUCAUAACCACACCCUUGCUACAACUUUAUUCAUUUUGCUCACUCUGUUGGUAUCCUACCAUAUCUUAAAUGUUCCAUGCGUUAGUAAUAGGCGUCCCUAUGGUUCUCUACCAAUCUACACCCCCCAAUAAGUGCUUUCAUUGGAAUAUCAACAGUUAUUUCACACUCAUUUUCUUGCCAUCUGGCUGUGUAGGAGGAGUUGCAUAUGCACACCAAUGUCCAUAUUUGUGCAUUAUAGAAGUAGUUCUUAAGUACAAUUUCAUGCAAUAUGUGGAGUGAGCGUCUAAUGUUGUAUUGCGUUUGUCUGUGUCUAACAAAUCCAGUUUAGUCUGCCUGAAUUCUCUCUGGUAAAAUGUUCUCAAUCAUUCUAGCUAAAAUGAAGGCAAACAUUUUAUAGUCCUCCUUCAGAACACUGAUAGGCCUACAAUUUGCACACUCCAAAAAGUCAUUCCCCUUUUUUGGUAUGACUGAAAUGACAGCCUCUUUCAAUGAGUGUGAUACCUCACCUUUCUCCAACAGCCUGUUAAAUGAAAUAGCAUGGGGGUAAGUGGCUCCCUGAAUGAUUUAUAUCACAAAAAGCUGUACCCGUCAGUGCUCGGUGCUUUGUUUCCCUUAAGUUUAGUUAUGGCAGCAUUCAGUUCCUCCGUGGUAGUAUUUUCUGUUAAACUCCUGUUCUGCUCCUUGGUUUCUGUGUGUAAGCCUAAUGAGGUUGUUGAGGCCUUCAAAGGUAUGGCAAUGGUAGAGUGAAUUUUUGCUAUAUACCUGAGGUAUUUAGAUCUGAGAUCAUCAAAAAAUGAAUAUGACACAAAAGUACAGACAAUCAUGUUUUAUUUCAUGUUAUUUACGACGCGUAUAUGUUUUACCAUUUUAGAGAAACAGCUGUUUUGGGUUGAGUACCCCCAUUUUCAGCACCGCAAAAUUAAGUUAACUGAUGAACUUAAAAGUAAAUGAAAACAAUGAUGUCGGUAUUUGGCUGCAAAGCCCUUAAAUGCAAUAACUUUAAUCAAGUCUAUGACCCACUGACAGUACCACAUGUUUGGUAUGUUCUUUGGUAAUGCUUUCUCAAGCCUUAUCUGCAGCCACUUUCGGUUGACGAUCUUUGUUUUGGGGGGGGGGGGGCGUUGGGGGUUCUGUCUUCAGUCUCCUCUUUGGCAGUCUAAAACAUUCCACUUUAUUCCAUUGAUGAAUGCUUUGGUUGCAUAGGCAUUACUACUGUGUUUGGGGUCAUCAGUACUAGCUUGUGAGGUUGGAGGACGUUCUUUGUACAUACCCAGACAAAAUCUGUCUAUACACUUCCAAGUUUAUCCUAAUGCUGCCAUUCUUCAUUACACCUUCAAUAACAAUUAGGUAGCCUGUUCCAGAAGCAGCCAUACAUGCCAAAGCCAUGACACUACCUCCAUAUUUCACCGAUGAUGCUUUGGUGGUAUGCAUUGGAUCAUGGGCUGUUCCUUCUGUUCUUCACACUUUCCAUCACUUUGGCAAAGGUUUAUUUUGCUCUCAUUUAUCUAUAUAACUCUUUUUGUUCUUCUGUGUGUUUCUUUGGCUAAUUCUAAUCCAGCCUCUUGCUUCUUCCUGCUGAUGAGAGGUUUGCAUCUUGCUGUGUCGCUGCUAUAAUUCUGCUCUCAAUGUCUUCUGCGUAUGGUGGCUCUUGAUAUUUUCAUCUCUGCCCUCUGUAGACUGCUGGUGAUGUCACUGACCACAGUUUUAGGGUUCUUCUUCACAGCUUCAAGUUUUGUCUGUCAUUAACUGCAGUUGUCUUCCUUGGCCGAUCUGUACAGUUUAUAUUUCUGAGUCCAUAUGUGGUUUCUUUCUUUUUCACGAUCUUCCAAACUGCUGUACAUGAUAUCACCAGUUUCUGUGCUAUCCUUCUAAAUGAAUUCUUCUGUUCUCUCAGCUUACAGAAUAGUUGUUUUAAUUAUCCAUAGUUAGUUAUCUGGUCUUCAGUCACAACAGAUGAAAACAAAAUCUAAAACUAAAACUAGAGACUCAUUGCUCUUUCACGCACGAACAAUACAGGCAAAAGGAAACACUUGAGCUACAGUUAACAGUCAGUCAUUCGUAAGCUUAAUUUUGCACAGCUGAAAAUGGAGGUACUCAACACAGAAACAGCUGUUUCUGUGAAGUGCUAAAACAUAUAAGCAUGUAAACGCCUUGGAAUAGAAGCUGAUUGUCUGUACUUUUGCCUCAUAUUCAUCCUUUGAACGCAAAUCCACAUGCCUUAAGCAUAAAGCAAAAGAAGCAAAUUUUACUUGACGUUACCAUACUUUGGGAGGGCGCUGUAGAAUCCUGUAAUAUAGUCUGACACUCCUCUGGAUAUCCUGUACAUUAUAAUCAAUAGGUUUGGGAUGGGGAUUCCUUAUCUUCUAUAUGGUCUUCUGCUGCUGCUUUCUUAUUCUGUAAACUAAUAACUUUGUUAGCUAAUGUUGUUCUACCUUCCAUUGUUCUUUUAUUGGACCAUUCAAAAUAUUUGAAUUCAGUCUCCAAAGGGUAGUUUUAUCUCCAUGCCUCAGGGUCAGGGUCUUACUGGGCUAUCAUAUAAAAGAUCCGUUAUUCGGCCAUUAGAAUACAGGCUUUUACUGAAAGACAGAGAGCCUCGUACUCCCUUUUUGGAUUUGCAACCUAUUGCAAUGUUAUGCAAGGGUGAGAAACUUUGUGAAUUAGCCUAACUGAAUAGAACAGUAAAACAGUAAAAUUGAAAUAAAACCGUAAAACAGUUUUAUUGAGAGUUAAUUCACCACCAGGCUUUCAUGUAACACACACACACACAUACAGUCAAAGCUAUGUUGACCUUUACAAAACAGUAUUAAAUGUACCAUGAUACUCCCAUCUGUAUAAUAUUUCUCUCGUCUGGCUGGAUCUGAAUCCCUAUGCUGUCGGUAUUGUUACUGUCCUAACAAAAAAUAACCAAAAGUAUGAAUUACAUUUUUGUAUAUAUAGUUAAUGGUAAGUAUGGUAAGUAUUUCAUGUAAUUAUUUAUAUUGUAUUGAGACAGAUGUGUUAGACCAGUAUUUCUCAACCCUGGUCCUGGGGGACCCACUGCCCUGCAUGUUUUAGAUGUUUCCCUGCUCCAGCA